UGUUCCUACGGGACGCAGCAGUGGGGAAUAUUGCACAAUGGGGGAAACCCUGAUGCAGCAACGCCGCGUGAGUGAAGAAGUAUUUCGGUAUGUAAAGCUCUAUCAGCAGGGAAGAAGAAAGACGGUACCUGACUAAGAAGCCCCGGCUAACUACGUGCCAGCAGCCGCGGUAAUACGUAGGGGGCAAGCGUUAUCCGGAUUUACUGGGUGUAAAGGGAGCGCAGACGGCAGCACAAGUCUGGAGUGAAAUCCCGGGGCUUAACCCCGGAACUGCUUUGGAAACUGUGCGGCUGGAGUGCAGGAGG
rnacentral:rRNA from 1 species